CAAGGGAGAGCACUGGGUUCCUAGAGGGCUGCAGGAAGGUAGCACUUCGGACAGGGCAGCUGCUAGGGACCAGAGGAGCUAGGGUCAGAGCUCCUGGCUGGCAGCUGGGACUUGUAGGCUCAAGGCCCUGAGAAGUGGCCCAGGCAAUUGAAGCAGCACUGAAAAGGGAAAACACAAAUGGUGACACGGCCGGAGUCAUGAAGAGCACGCUGAGGCGGGUCUGCAGGUGAGACGGUGUCGAUGGGCGAGACACCACCAGGAGAGGGUGCACAGGCUAGCAGAGCUAAUCCCCAUGAUGGCCAGCAGGAGGUGCCGCAGUGGAAGGAGUUGCCUCCCCUCCCUGGCUAGCUGCUGAUGUAAUACAAGGCUCAAUUGUCUACCAUUAUUCCAUCACAGAACAGUCAAUGGAAAACCAUCAAAGACAACUGCAAACAAUCAAAACCACUUGGAGGUAAAAAAGGAACAUUACAACAGACUGUGAAGAGGUGCUCCCAAGCUGAAGUGUCAGUGAGCACUUAUUAAAAGUUGUUAUAGGAAUAAAGAAAGGGAGUUUUGAAACUUCUUUCCCUUUCCAUGGUGCCUGUAAAGCCAGUGAUACAUCUGUCUGUUUUUAUCACCAGCUGCUGCUGUUGUGGCCUUGAGGUGCCCCCUCCCCCCUCUACAGCCACAGAAUGCCUGCCCCUGAUGAGGAGAAAGAAGAGGACUUGGGCAGAGGUGGGGGGUGGGCAGGGGGAAGGACAUAUGCAGUACUGCAUCAGACCAUGAACAAAGGGCCUGGAGGGCCAACAUGGCUGACAGCCUGGAGAAGCAAAGAGCAGACAGGAGAAAAGGAGAGGGAAAUGCCCCAGCUCACAAUGGAUCUUCUCAGGCUGCAAACCCAAAUGCUGCAGACCAUGUUUGACCUAUAGCUCCAAAAAUCCUUGCCUCCCCACUCUUUGCAGUCCUUGGAGAACUCAAUAGUAGCAGCCCCCAGUCUACCAGCUGGCAUCAGGGGCCACAUUCUUUUCGCUACUACUCCACACCAAUUUUCAGCAAGGAAAACCACCGCUUCACAUACAGCAACUGUGGUUAGUACUAACUGUGGUUAGUGUAUGUGUAGCUACAACAGACUACAUUUGUGCACUGAAACAGACAAACAUUUGCUGCCUUUCCAAUUUUAAAGUUCUGUUCCAUUCAUCUGUGUGUUGCUUUGCAAGUUGGUUUUCUUCACUGUUUUUGCUGCUCAAGGCACAGUACUUGUAAAUGUACAGCAAAAUAUCCCAUCAUACUUAGAAAGUCUGUAGUUCUUGUUGU